UUCAAGGUUGGAAAAUGGAUGCCCAGGACCGCAUUUCGUGAACAUUAAAGAACACCAGUUAACAACAACCUUGGUGGCCAAAGAAGCUACGAGGUGGAUUAACUCCUGAACUGGUUAGAGGCGAAGGUAGCGAGAGCACCAAUGCACGCCUCUUAACAACUGUGGGGACCAUUUGUGACCGGCGUUCCUUUCCCGUUGAGUCUUAAUUGAGAGCACGCGGACGAUGUCGGCUACAGUGUCACCACACACAACCAUUUAAAACGGUACACCAUGCAGUUGAACUGCAGUCACCUCUGGGCUAUGGAGUGAGACUGGAACUGAGAAAAUCUCGGAAAGGAAGCGAGGUACGGAAACAAGGAAGAUAUAAAGCAGCCUAGUGACUAGAAUGCAUGCAGGGUUUCGCGAUCGCCGUCAGCGUCAUCGUCAUACUUCAUCCCAGCCCUGGAAUCUGCGCAGGCCGCAGCUGAGCUUGGCCCGCAACGCAGCAGGCGCGCUUCACGAAUGCGUCGCAUGGAAACAGAUGCCGUCGGAGGGGCCCGCAGUCCCUCCCCCCCUCUGAGCAGCAGCACCUGCAAGGCCUCCCCCCAUCCUCCUCUGCCCCCCCCCCCGGCUCACCGUACCCUAAAUCACUCCAGUGGGACCCAUGUGAUGAGGGCCCCCCCCCCCCAAGCUCCUACGAAUGGGCCCAUUUCAUCUUUGCGUGUCCCUGUCUGUGGCGGCCUUGCAAACUACACUGUGCAGCAGUCCUCUGUCAAAAGUCAGCCAUUAUCGCACUGAUUUACUGGUGUUGAUGACAUCAUCGCCCGUUGCAUCAUAUGGGUAGAGAGUGCGGCUCUGAAAGGCCAGGGCUUCCUGUCCUUUUACGAGGUGCGAGUCUGCCAAUGCCGGAAAAAAAAACAAAAAAACACGCGCACACAGAAGGCAUCGUCUAAAAUCCAGGGGGACCGAGCGAUCUCAAAGAGGCAGCGCUGCCAAAACUCUUAACGGCCUUAGGAAAGCAUACAGGAAACUAUUGACUGCAGAAUGGACUCGGAAGGCAGACUUUCAGUGCUUUUGAACCGACGAGGAACGCUGGUGAAGCUCCACGAUCAACCAAACGAUUCGGCUCGAUUAAGCCUCUUUGCGGGCCGAGGCAUCGAACAGAAACCGGACUUCGGAUCUUCGGUUCCUGAAGGACUCCUGAAGGCGAGCAGCUCCGACCAACGUACAUCAUCGGUGAAGCUCAGCUUCGCACGCUCAAAAUUUGAGAGUUUCUGCACCGGCCCCUCUGAGAACGCUGCGCUUUCCUCCGGGGGGGGUCCUGGGGGUCCCGGCUCACACGGCCAUAAAUCGCGUGUUUGCAUGCCCCCCCCCCCCACAGCCAGCUGCAGACACGGUUUGCGUCCGUAAGCUGCUUGUUUAUUUCCCCGCAUGCUAGUCUUGGCGAAAAGCAGAGAUUGCCACAUUGUAUAAAUCCCACAGUUUCUCACACCCUCCCCCCCCCCCCCAACCCAAUCCCCCAACCCCCUUACCCUUAAUUCACCUUCCCCACUUCACCUCAGAAUUGGCUUGGUCAGCACACAUGAUGUGAAUGGAGAGAUGAGAGAGAAGGAGAGGGAUAUUGAAAGACUUUUCCUGGUAUCUUGGUAAAAUACUCAAGACUAAUUAAUGUACAGUGAAGGGUUAACCCCAUGAACAUGUGAUUAUAACUGCCAGUAUCUUCAGAUGAUUGCUUUCUGAUCCAACUGUACAUUAUAUUUUUUCUCAUCAUUACCCAGACAGGAUUGUUUUACGAAAUAGACUGGGAAUGAUAGAAUGAUGAAAAACAAUUGUUUCUGAGGUUUUGUUGAUGCUGAUUAUACAGAAAUGCAAACUUAAUACAGCUUGGGUAUGGUCCUAGUUGCAUAUUUCUGUCAUGGUGUUGUUGGAACACAAAGCCUGAUGUCCCUGAGGCUUGGAUGCUCUUCUAUGGCAUGCUGGGAUUGUUGGGACCACCAAUAAGGGGAAUUUACAGCUGUGAGUACAGGUGGGGCCUUGGAGGGCAGUCAAUGGAAAAAAUAUAAAUGUUUUCAUGUGAACAGAAGGCAAAGAAUACCAUGGCGAUGCGAGGCAUUCCAACCUCUGUGUUUAGUGCCUUGUCCAACAUAUUUUCCCUCCACGUUUGUCGCAAUUAGUGUUGGCCACCUAUUGUAAGGGAAAUAACUUCCAAAGGAAAAAACAACAACAUGGCGGUAAUCUGCGCGCCCAUUAAAAUCCUCUGAGAAGUCUUUGGGACGACGCGUUCCCUUUGCACUUUUCGCAGGAUCGCUUAUCCGCUUAUGCCUACUUAGAAAGUUCCAUAAUUCGCCCAUGUCCUUAAUACAUCCUGCUCAAAGCCUGCUUUCUUGCUAAAUGAUCUGCCCGUUUCCAGAGAAUAGGCUGGGCAGAAGGAUGCAUUCAGAUUAAUUAACUGUUCUAUUUCUGCACUUAACCACAUUUUUUUUUUUUUUUUUUUUUUUUACAAUUAAAGUACUUAUCAGUAGGUUUCAGGUUGACGAGAUGGAAAGGACUUACUAAUUUCAGAUGUGAGGUAAAUGAUAUUUAUUGUUUGCCCCAAUGUUGAAGAACGGUUAAAAACCAGGUCUUCAUUAGAAUUUUUACUGGUCUCUUUGCAGUGAGAAACUGAAAUAAAACUGAAUUUAAUAUGGAAUUUGGCCUAUAACAAACAUAUUAACCUUGGUGGUAUUAAGAUGGUGGCAUUUCUGUCAGUUCAGCCUUUUCAGAUGCCUUCCUUCUUGUUUUAAAGAAGGUCAAGUUGACCUGAAUGUCUCUUUUUGUGGCUUGCAGCCUUCGGAGAGACAUUGAUGUGAGAGAUAUUUACAUUUCUUUCAGUUUGUUUGUCCGGUUUCCCAUUCAGUGCCGACUGCAUAUUUGCUUUUUUCCUUUCCCAUUAAAAAAAAGAAUCAAUUCAAAAAACCCAAUGAAAAUCAUUAGCAAAUUCUUUGGUACUAGGUUUACAAAGAAGUUUGUUAUUUAUU